ACCUCCAGUCUGUACCUUACCUGUGUAAUGGUAGGUAAUACCAACACCCCACAGGUGUCACCUCCAGUCUGUACCUUACCUGUGUAAUGGUAGAUAAUACCAACACCUCACAGGUGUCACCUCCAGUCUGUACCUUACCUGUGUAAUGGUAGAUAAUACCAACACCCCACAGGUGUCACCUCCAGUCUGUUCCUUACCUGUGUAAUGGUAGAUAAUACCAACACCUCACAGGUGUCACCUCCAGUCUGUACCUUACCUGUGUAAUGGUAGAUAAUACCAACACCCCACAGGUGUCACCUCCAGUCUGUACCUUACCUGUGUAAUGGUAGGUAAUACCAACACCUCACAGGUGUCACCUCCAGUCUGUACCUUACCUGUGUAAUGGUAGAUAAUACCAACACCUCACAGGUGUCACCUCCAGUCUGUACCUUACCUGUGUAAUGGUAGAUAAUACCAACACCUCACAGGUAUCACCUCCAGUCUGUACCUUACCUGUGUAAUACCAACACCCCACAGGUGUCACCUCCAAGUCUGUACCUUACCUAUAUAACAGAAGAUAUUACAAACACUCUGUUGGUGACAUCUCCUUUUUGCAGGUGACAUACAGGUAUCACUAUGCUGAUGGCGGACAUCGGCACAGAGGUUUCCAUGCGAUAACUAAAGUUCCCUUGAGCCGAUCAAGCUUAAACUUCAUGCAAAUCUUCCUUACCAAAAGUGCUUGCUUUGGAUUGCUUUUCAGGUCCAAAGGUCAAAGUUACUGUUACUAUUAAAAGAAAAUUUGUUUCUAUACAAUAACUCUUGUAAUCACGGAAUGUUCUGCGCAGGCGACACAUCCACUUCAGUGGAAAUCUUGUGUGCCUUACCCGUGCCAUGGUAGAUACCAUAAAAAACCUGUAGUAAUUUAAUAUUUUUGGCUCAAAAUUGUUGUUUUAGUUGGUGUGUGUGUAGAUUACAUUGGUACAGAGAUCGCCAGGUUUUAUUAACAUAUCGGCCUUGCCUGUCAUGACAAUGAUAAC